ACGCUGGCGGCGUGCUUAACACAUGCAAGUCGAACGGAAAGGCCCUUCGGGGUACUCGAGUGGCGAACGGGUGAGUAACACGUGGGUGAUCUGCCCUGCACUUUGGGAUAAGCCUGGGAAACUGGGUCUAAUACCGAAUAGGACCGCGCUCUUCAUGGGGUGUGGUGGAAAGCUCUUGCGGUGUGGGAUGGGCCCGCGGCCUAUCAGCUUGUUGGUGGGGUAAUGGCCUACCAAGGCGACGACGGGUAGCCGGCCUGAGAGGGUGACCGGCCACACUGGGACUGAGAUACGGCCCAGACUCCUACGGGAGGCAGCAGUGGGGAAUAUUGCACAAUGGGCGCAAGCCUGAUGCAGCGACGCCGCGUGAGGGAUGACGGCCUUCGGGUUGUAAACCUCUUUCAAUAGGGACGAAGCGCAAGUGACGGUACCUAUAGAAGAAGGACCGGCCAACUACGUGCCAGCAGCCGCGGUAAUACGUAGGGUCCGAGCGUUGUCCGGAAUUACUGGGCGUAAAGAGCUCGUAGGUGGUUUGUCGCGUUGUUCGUGAAAACUCACAGCUUAACUGUGGGCGUGCGGGCGAUACGGGCAGACUAGAGUACUGCAGGGGAGACUGGAAUUC
rnacentral:rRNA from 1 species